CCAGAUAGGAGCCCUUUGGGCGCUAUCCCCACCCGUGUCUACAUACUAUUGUUGCUUUGGCGGGCCGUGGCCUCCACUGCGGGUUCCGCUCGCAUGUGCCCGCCAGAGGAUCAAAAUCUGAAGUUUAGUGAUGUCUGAGUACUAUAUAAUAGUAA
rnacentral:misc_RNA from 1 species